rnacentral:rRNA from 1 species
UACGUAGGGGGCAAACGUUGUCCGGAAUCAUUGGGCGUAAAGAGCGUGUAGGCGGUCCGGUCAGUCGGUUGUGAAAGUCAAGGGCUCAACCCUUGAAUGCCGGCCGAUACUGCCGGGCUAGAGUCCGGAAGAGGUGAGUGGAAUUCCUGGUGUAGCGGUGAAAUGCGCAGAUAUCAGGAGGAACACCGAUGGCGAAGGCAGCUCACUGGGACGGUACUGACGCUGAGACGCGAAAGCGUGGGGAGCAAACAGG